GGGUUGUGAGGUUAAGCGACUAAGCGUACACGGUGGAUGCCCUGGCAGUCAGAGGCGAUGAAGGGCGUGCUAAUCUGCGAUAAGCGCCGGUAAGGUGAUAUGAACCGUUAUAACCGGCGAUACCCGAAUGGGGAAACCCAGUGUGAUUCGUCACACUAUCAUUAACUGAAUCCAUAGGUUAAUGAGGCGAACCGGGGGAACUGAAACAUCUAAGUACCCCGAGGAAAAGAAAUCAACCGAGAUUCCCCCAGUAGCGGCGAGCGAACGGGGAGGAGCCCAGAGCCUGAAUCAGCAUGUGUGUUAGUGGAAGCGUCUGGAAAGGCGCGCGAUACAGGGUGACAGCCCCGUACACAAAAGCGCAUGUGCUGUGAGCUCGAUGAGUAGGGCGGGACACGUGGUAUCCUGUCUGAAUAUGGGGGGACCAUCCUCCAAGGCUAAAUACUCCUGACUGACCGAUAGUGAACCAGUACCGUGAGGGAAAGGCGAAAAGAACCCCGGCGAGGGGAGUGAAAAAGAACCUGAAACCGUGUACGUACAAGCAGUGGGAGCACAGGUUUACCUGUGUGACUGCGUACCUUUUGUAUAAUGGGUCAGCGACUUAUAUUCUGUAGCAAGGUUAACCGUAUAGGGGAGCCGGAGGGAAACCGAGUCUUAAUUGGGCGUUAAGUUGCAGGGUAUAGACCCGAAACCCGGUGAUCUAGCCAUGGGCAGGUUGAAGGUUGGGUAACACUAACUGGAGGACCGAACCGACUAAUGUUGAAAAAUUAGCGGAUGACCUGUGGCUGGGGGUGAAAGGCCAAUCAAACCGGGAGAUAGCUGGUUCUCCCCGAAAGCUAUUUAGGUAGCGCCUCGUGAAUUCAUCUCCGGGGGUAGAGCACUGUUUCGGCUAGGGGGCCAUCCCGGCUUACCAACCCGAUGCAAACUGCGAAUACCGGAGAAUGUUAUCACGGGAGACACACGGCGGGUGCUAACGUCCGUCGUGAAGAGGGAAACAACCCAGACCGCCAGCUAAGGUCCCAAAGUCAUGGUUAAGUGGGAAACGAUGUGGGAAGGCCCAGACAGCCAGGAUGUUGGCUUAGAAGCAGCCAUCAUUUAAAGAAAGCGUAAUAGCUCACUGGUCGAGUCGGCCUGCGCGGAAGAUGUAACGGGGCUAAACCAUGCACCGAAGCUGCGGCAGCGANNUGCUGGAGGUAUCAGAAGUGCGAAUGCUGACAUAAGUAACGAUAAAGCGGGUGAAAAGCCCGCUCGCCGGAAGACCAAGGGUUCCUGUCCAACGUUAAUCGGGGCAGGGUGAGUCGACCCCUAAGGCGAGGCCGAAAGGCGUAGUCGAUGGGAAACGGGUUAAUAUUCCCGUACUUGGUGUUACUGCGAAGGGGGGACGGAGAAGGCUAUGUUGGCCGGGCGACGGUUGUCCCGGUUUAAGCGUGUAGGUGUGUGUUCCAGGUAAAUCCGGUUCACUUUAACACUGAGGCGUGACGACGAGGCACUACGGUGCUGAAGCAACAAAUGCCCUGCUUCCAGGAAAAGCCUCUAAGCAUCAGGUAACAUCAAAUCGUACCCCAAACCGACACAGGUGGUCAGGUAGAGAAUACCAAGGCGCUUGAGAGAACUCGGGUGAAGGAACUAGGCAAAAUGGUGCCGUAACUUCGGGAGAAGGCACGCUGACACGUAGGUGAAGUGAUUUACUCAUGGAGCUGAAGUCAGUCGAAGAUACCAGCUGGCUGCAACUGUUUAUUAAAAACACAGCACUGUGCAAACACGAAAGUGGACGUAUACGGUGUGACGCCUGCCCGGUGCCGGAAGGUUAAUUGAUGGGGUCAGCGUAAGCGAAGCUCCUGAUCGAAGCCCCGGUAAACGGCGGCCGUAACUAUAACGGUCCUAAGGUAGCGAAAUUCCUUGUCGGGUAAGUUCCGACCUGCACGAAUGGCGUAAUGAUGGCCAGGCUGUCUCCACCCGAGACUCAGUGAAAUUGAACUCGCUGUGAAGAUGCAGUGUACCCGCGGCAAGACGGAAAGACCCCGUGAACCUUUACUAUAGCUUGACACUGAACAUUGAGCCUUGAUGUGUAGGAUAGGUGGGAGGCUUUGAAGUGUGGACGCCAGUCUGCAUGGAGCCGACCUUGAAAUACCACCCUUUAAUGUUUGAUGUUCUAACGUGGACCCGUAAUCCGGGUUGCGGACAGUGUCUGGUGGGUAGUUUGACUGGGGCGGUCUCCUCCUAAAGAGUAACGGAGGAGCACGAAGGUUGGCUAAUCCUGGUCGGACAUCAGGAGGUUAGUGCAAUGGCAUAAGCCAGCUUGACUGCGAGCGUGACGGCGCGAGCAGGUGCGAAAGCAGGUCAUAGUGAUCCGGUGGUUCUGAAUGGAAGGGCCAUCGCUCAACGGAUAAAAGGUACUCCGGGGAUAACAGGCUGAUACCGCCCAAGAGUUCAUAUCGACGGCGGUGUUUGGCACCUCGAUGUCGGCUCAUCACAUCCUGGGGCUGAAGUAGGUCCCAAGGGUAUGGCUGUUCGCCAUUUAAAGUGGUACGCGAGCUGGGUUUAGAACGUCGUGAGACAGUUCGGUCCCUAUCUGCCGUGGGCGCUGGAGAACUGAGGGGGGCUGCUCCUAGUACGAGAGGACCGGAGUGGACGCAUCACUGGUGUUCGGGUUGUCAUGCCAAUGGCACUGCCCGGUAGCUAAAUGCGGAAGAGAUAAGUGCUGAAAGCAUCUAAGCACGAAACUUGCCCCGAGAUGAGUUCUCCCUGAGACUUAGAGUCUCCUGAAGGAACGUUGAAGACGACGACGUUGAUAGGCCGGGUGUGUAAGCGCAGCGAUGCGUUGAGCUAACCGGUACUAAUGAACCGUGAGGCUUAACCUUACAACGCCGAAG
rnacentral:rRNA from 1 species